rnacentral:rRNA from 1 species
UACGUAGGUGGCAAGCGUUGUCCGGAUUUACUGGGCGUAAAGAGCGCGCAGGCGGUCGUUCAAGUCGCGUGUGAAAGCCCCCGGCUCAACUGGGGAGGGUCACGCGAUACCGAUCGACUCGAAGGCAGGAGAGGGUAGUGGAAUUCCCGGUGUAGUGGUGAAAUGCGUAGAUAUCGGGAGGAACACCAGUGGCGAAGGCGACUACCUGGCCUGUUCUUGACGCUGAGGCGCGAAAGCCAGGGGAGCAAACGGG